AUGCAUGACCUUAUCGGUAUGGUUCCUCCGGAGCCUCGGGAACCAGAAGCAGAAGACAAGAAGAAGGAAAGAGUCGCAGCCGGUGCUCCUUUCACGUGGAUUACAUGGCACUUUGGUACUUGUCCUGAGGAAGCUAAUGAGGAUGAGGUCAAGACAUAUGCUCGUGUCUACAUGUGGUACGUGAUAUCCAGGACUAUGUUUGCUGAUGGCACAGGCAAGAAUGCUCCAUGUUUGUGGCUGAAGGCAUUGACCGUCUUCGAUAGCAAAUGGAGUUGGGGUUUGGCGACACUGGCUUACUUGUAUAGACAGGUAUGA
rnacentral:rRNA from 1 species